UCAUAUCGAUACCACACUAAGAUUACUCAAGCAAUAUCGAUACCCACGCUUAAACUAGCCUAGACCAUCUCUUUUUAAUUGAAAAGCUUAAGUGAAAAGUUGAGCGCAGUGAAAAAGUAAAAAAAAUCGGUCGACAUCCGUCGUAUUAUUAUAUAUAAUCAAUAUUCGUGUUGCUCGGGCGUGCGCCCCAUGUAAAAUUAAUUUUUCGACUAUUCUUUGGCUUUCUCGUUGGUUCUACAAGGACUUUGUGUGUUAAAUCACGUGGCGACGGCCACAGUCUAGCGCACACCAACGGGUCUGCAACUGAUAAUGAUCUCCGCCGCUUCUCAUUGUCGUUGAGACAGCCGAUCUCGAAUCUGAUGUUGUGCUGACAGUGCGAUUGCCACUCGAUGCCACUGCCGCUUCUCGUUGCUGUUUCUGUCUCUUCCGAUAGUCCUACUGCACUCGCUGCCGCUCUUUUUGCUGACGUCUUUUUAUAGCCGAGACAGCAUCAAUAGCCAAGAACCCUAAAAUCGGUUGCUCCUUGAGUCUUUUCGUAAAGAGUCAGGAAAAGACACUUAUUUGCAGACAACGAGAAACGGUCAACAGUUGUUUGCGAGCUUUGA